rnacentral:rRNA from 1 species
GACGAACGCUGGCGGCGUGCCUAAUACAUGCAAGUCGUGCGAAGUUUUUCUGGUGCUUGCACCGGAAAAACUUAGCGGCGAACGGGUGAGUAACACGUAAAGAACCUGCCUCAUAGACUGGGACAACUAUUGGAAACGAUAGCUAAUACCGGAUAACAGCAUUAACUGCAUGGUUGAUGUUUAAAAGUUGGUUUUGCUAACACUAUGAGGUGGCUUUGCGGUGCAUUAGCUAGUUGGUGGGGUAAAGGCCUACCAAGGCGACGAUGCAUAGCCGACCUGAGAGGGUGAUCGGCCACACUGGGACUGAGACACGGCCCAGACUCCUACGGGAGGCAGCAGUAGGGAAUCUUCCGCAAUGGGCGAAAGCCUGACGGAGCAACGCCGCGUGAGUGAAGAAGGA